CACGUAGGGGACGAGCGUUGUCCGGAAUCAUUGGGCGUAAAGCGCGCGUAGGCGGCCCGGAAAGUCGGUUGUGAAAGCCCGGGGCUCAACCCCGGGACUGCAUCCGAUACUUCCGGGCUGGAGGUAGGUAGGGGAGAUCGGAAUUCCUGGUGUAGCGGUGAAAUGCGCAGAUAUCAGGAGGAACACCGGUGGCGAAGGCGGAUCUCUGGGCCUUACCUGACGCUGAGGCGCGAAAGCUAGGGGAGCGAACAGG
rnacentral:rRNA from 1 species